rnacentral:rRNA from 1 species
UACUAGAGUAGCACUCGCAUAUCAAUAAGCGGAGGAAAAGAAACUAACAAGGAUUCCCCUAGUAACGGCGAGUGAAGCGGGAAGAGCUCAAAUUUGAAAUCUUAAAGGGUUUCCCUUUACGAAUUGUAGUUUAAAGAAGUGUUUUCUGUUGAGGUUUUGGUAAAAGUUCUUUGGAAUAGGACAUCAUAGAGGGUGAGAAUCCCGUAUUUGACCUUUACUUGCAACUUUGUGAUACACUUUCAAAGAGUCGGAUUGUUUGGGAAUGCAGUCCAAAAUGGGUGGUAAAUUUCAUCUAAAGCUAAAUAUUGGCGAGAGACCGAUAGCGAACAAGUACCGUGAGGGAAAGGAUGAAAAGAACUUUGAAAAGAGAGUUAAACAGUACGUGAAAUUGUCAAAAGGGAAGCGUUUGACACCAGUGUUGUUUUUCUGAAAAUCAAUUAAAGAACUGUUUAUGCUAAGCUGUUUAGACUUUAUCAGCUAUCUGUUUAGUUUUGAGCUUUUCUUUAAUGCACUUUUCAGUUAACAAGUCAACAUCAAUUUCUUUUGCUGUAAAAAAGCUUGAGGAAGGUGGCUUGAGAUUCGUCUUAAGUGUUUAUAGCCUCUUGCCUAUGCAGUCGGAGAGAUUGAGGUCUGCAGCGUAGAUCCUUCGGGGCUAAAUGCAUUUGUGCUAAGUUAUAGCAUUUUAUAGACAACUUGUUGACUAUGAUUUGUCUUGUAGCUUACUCGCUUAUGUUAUUUUACCUACGCUUAGGAUGUUGAACUCUAUCACACACAG